GAUGAACGCUGGCGGCGUGCUUAACACAUGCAAGUCGAACGAAGCACUUUAUUUGAUUUCCUUCGGGACUGAUUAUUUUGUGACUGAGUGGCGGACGGGUGAGUAACGCGUGGGUAACCUGCCUUAUACAGGGGGAUAACAGUUAGAAAUGACUGCUAAUACCGCAUAAGCGCACAGGAUUGCAUGAUCUAGUGUGAAAAACUCCGGUGGUAUAAGAUGGACCCGCGUCUGAUUAGCUGGUUGGUGAGGUAACGGCCCACCAAGGCGACGAUCAGUAGCCGACCUGAGAGGGUGACCGGCCACAUUGGGACUGAGACACGGCCCAAACUCCUACGGGAGGCAGCAGUGGGGAAUAUUGCACAAUGGGGGAAACCCUGAUGCAGCGACGCCGCGUGAGCGAAGAAGUAUUUCGGUAUGUAAAGCUCUAUCAGCAGGGAAGAAGAAAUGACGGUACCUGACUAAGAAGCACCGGCU
rnacentral:rRNA from 1 species